UGUUGGGUUUUGACCCACAUGACCACAUCGUGGUCAGUUACGAUUCCGUGAGAAGUGGAAGCAUUAUCCUUGAUGGUAGGAUAAUAUAACGGGUCUCACCCUCUGCCUAGCAAGCGAACAGAAAAUAGGACUCCAUCUCCUGAGUGUUCGAACAGGGGCCAAGAGGGAGAUACGAACUAAGGACCUGAUCAUCCAGAAAACAAAGGAAGCUUUGAUCGUUCAGUCUAUCAUGGAUCCAGGUAUGCUUCCUUUCAAGAUUGGUUCUAUUAUGAUCCUAUUUAAGAUGGUGUUUAACAUGUGGUAUCAGAGCCUGGUUCAUCCUAGAACCAGAUCACAGUAAAGGGGAGAACCA
rnacentral:lncRNA from 1 species